rnacentral:rRNA from 1 species
GACGGAGGAUGCAAGUGUUAUCCGGAAUCACUGGGCGUAAAGCGUCUGUAGGUGGUUUAAUAAGUCAACUGUUAAAUCUUGAGGCUCAACCUCAAAAUCGCAGUCGAAACUAUUAGGCUAGAGUAUAGUAGGGGUAAAGGGAAUUUCCAGUGGAGCGGUGAAAUGCGUAGAGAUUGGAAAGAACACCGAUGGCGAAGGCAGAUCUCUGGGCCGUAACUGACGCUGAGGAGCGAAAGCAUGGGGAGCGAACAGG